rnacentral:tRNA from 1 species
GGAGGCAUGGCUCAACAGCAGAGCAUCUGCUAACCAAGCAUAAGACUCUGAGUUCAAACCCCAGUACCUUCA